GCCCUAAACAUAAAUAUUCAACUAACAAGACUAUUCGCCAGAGUACUACUAGCCAUAGCUUAAAACUCAAAGGACUUGGCGGUNGCUUUAUAUCCCCCUAGAGGAGCCUGUUCUAUAAUCGAUAAACCCCGCUAUACCUUACCACCUUUCGCAAUAUCAGCCUAUAUACCGCCAUCUUCAGCAAACCUUAACAAAGUUCCACAGUAAGCAUAAUAAUACUACAUAAAAACGUUAGGUCAAGGUGUAGCCUAUAAGGUGGAAAGCAAUGGGCUACAUUUUCUACUUUCUAGAAUAGCAAUUACGUUAACUUCCAUGAAACUGAAAGUCUAAGGCGGAUUUAGUAGUAAGCCAAGAAUAGAGAGCCUGGCUGAAUUGGGCAAUAAAGCACGCACACACCGCCCG
rnacentral:rRNA from 1 species